AGCUGCGAGGGGGCGAAGGGCCCUGUGAGGGGCUCAUGGCCCCAGCUCCACCCCCCUGCAAAAGCCGCGGGGCAGGGGCACAUGAUCCCAGUUCCAGCCCCCGCCGCGCUGCUGGCUCAGCCCAGCUGACAGUCCCAUCACCUCACAGCAGGGCCUGUUCCAGGCUCCUUUCCAGUACUGUUCUUUCCAAACUCAGGACUUGGGAUGGAAGAGGGAGAAGAGACUUCAGCAAUUAGUUUGCAUAAGAUGAGGAAGAACAAUGCAGAUCGGAGAUUUGGAAGAAGAGCUAGCCCUCCAUUUUCACAACAACUUGUUUAGGAUGUAUAGUCUAGAACUACACCAGAAAACCAAUUACUGGUACCUCUUCUAUGGCGUAAGGACUAGUGCUUAUGUUGUCAUUCUUUUUUUUUUAUAUUUAUUUAC